GACGAACGCUGGCGGCGUGCUUAACACAUGCAAGUCGAACGGAAAGGCCCUGCUUUUGUGGGGUGCUCGAGUGGCGAACGGGUGAGUAACACGUGAGUAACCUGCCCUUGACUUUGGGAUAACUUCAGGAAACUGGGGCUAAUACCGGAUAGGAGCUCCUGCUGCAUGGUGGGGGUUGGAAAGUUUCGGCGGUUGGGGAUGGACUCGCGGCUUAUCAGCUUGUUGGUGGGGUAGUGGCUUACCAAGGCUUUGACGGGUAGCCGGCCUGAGAGGGUGACCGGCCACAUUGGGACUGAGAUACGGCCCAGACUCCUACGGGAGGCAGCAGUGGGGAAUAUUGCACAAUGGGCGGAAGCCUGAUGCAGCAACGCCGCGUGCGGGAUGACGGCCUUCGGGUUGUAAACCGCUUUCGCCUGUGACGAAGCGUGAGUGACGGUAAUGGGUAAAGAAGCACCGGCUAACUACGUGCCAGCAGCCGCGGUGAUACGUAGGGUGCGAGCGUUGUCCGGAUUUAUUGGGCGUAAAGGGCUCGUAGGUGGUUGAUCGCGUCGGAAGUGUAAUCUUGGGGCUUAACCCUGAGCGUGCUUUCGAUACGGGUUGACUUGAGGAAGGUAGGGGAGAAUGGAAUUCCUGGUGGAGCGGUGGAAUGCGCAGAUAUCAGGAGGAACACCAGUGGCGAAGGCGGUUCUCUGGGCCUUUCCUGACGCUGAGGAGCGAAAGCGUGGGGAGCGAACAGGCUUAGAUACCCUGGUAGUCCACGCUGUAAACGGUGGGUACUAGGUGUGGGGUCCAUUCCACGGGUUCCGUGCCGUAGCUAACGCUUUAAGUACCCCGCCUGGGGAGUACGGCCGCAAGGCUAAAACUCAAAGGAAUUGACGGGGCCCCGCACAAGCGGCGGAGCAUGCGGAUUAAUUCGAUGCAACGCGUAGAACCUUACCUGGGUUUGACAUGGAUCGGGAGCGCUCAGAGAUGGGUGUGCCUCUUUUGGGGUCGGUUCACAGGUGGUGCAUGGCUGUCGUCAGCUCGUGUCGUGAGAUGUUGGGUUAAGUCCCGCAACGAGCGCAACCCUUGUUCACUGUUGCCAGCACGUUAUGGUGGGGACUCAGUGGAGACCGCCGGGGUCAACUCGGAGGAAGGUGGGGAUGACGUCAAGUCAUCAUGCCCCUUAUGUCCAGGGCUUCACGCAUGCUACAAUGGCUGGUACAGAGAGUGGCGAGCCUGUGAGGGUGAGCGAAUCUCGGAAAGCCGGUCUCAGUUCGGAUUGGGGUCUGCAACUCGAUCUCAUGAAGUCGGAGUCGCUAGUAAUCGCAGAUCAGCAACGCUGCGGUGAAUACGUUCCCGGGGCU
rnacentral:rRNA from 1 species